AUCAUCUAUAUGGAGAAUGCCUUUGUUCAUUCUACUUCUUAACACAUUUCAUAAACAAGCCCUGCUGUACACGAGCGCUGCGCUGGGUCUAGACAGGCCCCAUCCAGAGGAAACACAAUUCUUUGAAAUCUGGAGUUUUACUUGUACAGCACAUCUCCAUGUGUCCUUGGCACAUUUCAAGUGUUCAGUGUCUCCGAGACAAGCCGCUGCCAUACUGAAUGGUGUACGGGGUACCAAACGUGUGGCCAAGGACUCCUGGCUGAUGUCAUCUCUAAAUAUGCAGCUUUAAUUGCUCCUCUCUACAGCAGCAAGGGAAAAGGAGAUCUUCGUUUCUUGUUUUCAGCACCAUUGAAACUGCGCUGCUGAUUCAGCCUGAAUUCCCGUCUUGCAAGCUCCACAGAAGCAUCCC
ensembl:lncRNA